rnacentral:rRNA from 1 species
ACGCUGGCGGCAUGCCUAACACAUGCAAGUCGAACGGGAUCCUAGCUUGCUAGGUGAGAGUGGCGGACGGGUGAGUAACACGUGGGAAUCUGCCUUUUGGUUCGGAUAACCGCGGGAAACUGCGGCUAAUACCGAAUGCCCUCGAGAGAGGAAAGAUUUAUCGCCAGAAGAGGAGCCCGCGUCCGAUUAGGUAGUUGGUGGGGUAAAGGCCUACCAAGCCGACGAUCGGUAGCUGGUCUGAGAGGAUGAUCAGCCACACUGGGACUGAGAUACGGCCCAGACUCCUACGGGAGGCAGCAGUGGGGAAUAUUGGACAAUGGGGGGCAACCCUGAUCCAGCAAUGCCGCGUGAGUGAUGAAGGCCUUAGGGUUGUAAAGCUCUUUUGCCAGGGAAGAUGAUGACUGUACCUGGAGAAUGAGCCCCGGCUAACUUCGUG